rnacentral:rRNA from 1 species
GGUUAAGCGACUAAGCGUACACGGUGGAUGCCCUGGCAGUCAGAGGCGAUGAAGGACGUGCUAAUCUGCGAAAAGCGUCGGUAAGGUGAUAUGAACCGUUAUAACCGGCGAUGUCCGAAUGGGGAAACCCAGUGUGAUUCGUCACACUAUCGUUAACUGAAUACAUAGGUUAACGAGGCGAACCGGGGGAACUGAAACAUCUAAGUACCCCGAGGAAAAGAAAUCAACCGAGAUUCCCCCAGUAGCGGCGAGCGAACGGGGAGCAGCCCAGAGUCUGAAUCAGCUUGUGUGUUAGUGGAACGGUCUGGAAAGUCCGACGGUACAGGGUGAUAGUCCCGUACACCAAAAUGCACAGGUUGUGAACUCGAAGAGUAGGGCGGGACACGUGGUAUCCUGUCUGAAUAUGGGGGGACCAUCCUCCAAGGCUAAAUACUCCUGACUGACCGAUAGUGAACCAGUACCGUGAGGGAAAGGCGAAAAGAACCCCGGCGAGGGGAGUGAAAAAGAACCUGAAACCGUGUACGUACAAGCAGUGGGAGCACCUUCGGGUGUGACUGCGUACCUUUUGUAUAAUGGGUCAGCGACUUAUAUUCUGUAGCAAGGUUAACCGUAUAGGGGAGCCGCAGGGAAACCGAGUCUUAACUGGGCGUUAAGUUGCAGGGUAUAGACCCGAAACCCGGUGAUCUAGCCAUGGGCAGGUUGAAGGUUGGGUAACACUAACUGGAGGACCGAACCGACUAAUGUUGAAAAAUUAGCGGAUGACUUGUGGCUGGGGGUGAAAGGCCAAUCAAACCGGGAGAUAGCUGGUUCUCCCCGAAAGCUAUUUAGGUAGCGCCUCGUGAACUCAUCUUCGGGGGUAGAGCACUGUUUCGGCUAGGGGGUCAUCCCGACUUACCAACCCGAUGCAAACUACGAAUACCGAAGAAUGUUAUCACGGGAGACACACGGCGGGUGCUAACGUCCGUCGUGAAGAGGGAAACAACCCAGACCGCCAGCUAAGGUCCCAAAGUCAUGGUUAAGUGGGAAACGAUGUGGGAAGGCACAGACAGCCAGGAUGUUGGCUUAGAAGCAGCCAUCAUUUAAAGAAAGCGUAAUAGCUCACUGGUCGAGUCGGCCUGCGCGGAAGAUGUAACGGGGCUAAACCAUGCACCGAAGCUGCGGCAGCGACACUAUGUGUUGUUGGGUAGGGGAGCGUUCUGUAAGCCUGCGAAGGUGUGCUGUGAGGCAUGCUGGAGGUAUCAGAAGUGCGAAUGCUGACAUAAGUAACGAUAAAGCGGGUGAAAAGCCCGCUCGCCGGAAGACCAAGGGUUCCUGUCCAACGUUAAUCGGGGCAGGGUGAGUCGACCCCUAAGGCGAGGCCGAAAGGCGUAGUCGAUGGGAAACAGGUUAAUAUUCCUGUACUUGGUGUUACUGCGAAGGGGGGACGGAGAAGGCUAUGUUAGCCGGGCGACGGUUGUCCCG